rnacentral:snRNA from 1 species
AACCAGAUCUUAAAGGCGUAAG